UGGAUCUUACAAUCUUUCCACCCCUUCUCCUG
rnacentral:piRNA from 1 species